rnacentral:lncRNA from 1 species
AGGGGACGUUAGAGGGGGCAUUUGAGGUGACAUUUGACUAAAUGUGCUCUGCCUUAUCUAUUUUAUCUACUCUGGUACCCUGUGGAUCAGCCCGGGUAAAGUAAUCCACUUGACUUCCUUCAGCCACUUUUGCUCAGGUUUCGUUGGAGGUUGAGUGACACCUGUGAGCCUCUUCCACAGCUCUCUCAGGAUGGGCACAGACUGGCAGCAUCUUCAUGGCGGCUAGCAGUGCCAGGGCUGUGGAGCUCACGCAUCCCAGUGCUGACAAUACCACCCUCUGCAGACACAGCCAAACGGCAGGCCCCUCUGGACAUAGCCACCAACUGCUACAGCAAAGUGAAGCCCUCAGGAUGAUAAACCAGCUGCUGGUGGGCGUGGGCCUGUGGUGGGCGUGGGCCUGUGGUGGGCUUGGGCCUGUGGUGGACUUGGGCCUGUGGUGUGGUCGCAUGCUUUUUAAAGUCAGAACCACUAGAUUGAGAGUAGAGCAUAAGUUUCAAACAUUGUAUAACUUAAAAGAGAAUGGACUGUUGUUAAAGACGACCACAUUAGAGCCCUGCUAUGAACUUGUGUUUGAGGUGGUACAAGAGCACUUCUGAUGGUUCCAUCCGCCAUCCCUCUGUCCCUAAAUGUGUCUCCUGCCCCUCCCAGUACUACUUGUCCAGCUCACCCUCUCAGUUUGCCUGUUUAUUAAAGCUACCCUUGCUGCCA